GCUGGUGAUUCUCUGCCUCAAAAGCUUUCGUCUUAUUUAGAUAUUGAGAAACUCGAAAAGGAAUUUGUCUUAGCAUCAGCAGAAUAUUUGCUUUCUUUGGCAAACAUCAAGUGGAGCUUUACUGUGAUCCUCAAAUUCUGGAAGGGUUCUGGUCUUAAAAGGUUGUACACUGCCUUCUAAUAACUGCCCCAGAAACUGUUAGCCCCUUGGAUGGUUUGCAAUGUGUUGAUUAUGUGCCUCAUUCCACGGGAAAGAUUGUAAACCAUAUGGUCUACUGUUGACCUCAUCAGAAGAUGAUUUUGUAUAUGACUCGCUUGAUACAGCUGCCGCAUCACAAAAAUCUGCCGGAAAUAGCCACUGGGGAAUACUCGAACACUAUCCUGAUAAGUACAAGGCAACUAAUCCCAGAUUGCCAUUAAUUGUUGCUGGAACUCUACUUUCAGCUGAUUCCCAAAUUGACUUGCCACUAUGGUUAGUCCGACAUUUUAAGGGUGAUCGCAGUGAAGUAGUUUUGGCAUGGCUGGAAAUGAAUCAAAUCCAGCAUCCCUAUUUCGCCUGUAUGUUGAUCACGGAAGGCAUACAGAGGCUCCCAAUUUGCUGAUUGAGUACAUGGAAAACUUGGCGUCUAUUCGACCAGCUGAUAUUAUCCGACGUAAAAAACCUUUUGCUAUUUGGUUUCCAUACACUUAUGUGGAACUCCUAUGGGGCAUGCUGGAGGAUUCCAUACAAAUGGGCCACAGAAGCGAGCAGUGUGAAAAGCUGAAAAAGUUAUUGCAUGGGGCUUUGUCAAACCAUCUGAAUCUGGUAAGUUUAUCCUCUUGGCUCUUGUUUUAUCUUGAAGUCUGAGUGAUGGUUGCUCUCAUAAAUGAUAUUCCUUUUAUUACUGGGCUUUACUGCUGAAAGUGGAGUCGGAUGAUGUUAAAUCUUGUGCAAGCUAGUGCUGCUGGACUGGUUGCUUUCGUUAAACUUGGGCAUUUCUGAGCUCCAAAUACGCACGCUAUUUUGUUAACCGGUUUCUGGUGGUUUGCCCUGUUUAUAAAUACUACUAGUAUGUAUCUUAUUCAUGUCUGCCUGAGAGGGAAAAUAAUAUUGCUCAUCCUUUAUGUGCUCAAUGUUACUAUUAGAUUAGUCAUAUCGUUAUAUUGUAUAUACAUAUUUUUUAUAUGAAAUUUAGUCUUCUUUUUCCC